AAUUUAAUUUGUUAAAAUUGUUAAAUAGUACCAAUUUGAAAAAUAAAUUAUUUAUACCCAUUUGAAAAAUCUUAUUAUAUAAAGUACGGUUUUGAAAGUUACUCAUUCACGAGCUCAUGACACGUGUCAGGUCUAUCAUUGAGAUGUUGAUAUAUGUCAAAAAAGUUUCUUUUAA
rnacentral:sRNA from 1 species